UGAAAGAGAAGAAGAGAAGAGCUCUCCGGGCUCCGGCCUCCGGCCUUCGUCAGGCCAAGCUCCUGUCAUCGGGCUGCAUGCGCCCAUGCGCCACACGCGCCACCGUUCACGGCGGUUGAAAGGUUAAAAGCCUUCAUUUUUCCAGGCGAAUCACAGGUGACGACGAGAAAACCGGCAACGAUCAGGUGCUGAUGAUGGCGCACUGGCGCGCCGAUUAAGGCGCGAGAUGAGGGGUCACUGACUACGGCGUGAUGAUUGGGAUCGUGCUUGCGGCGCGAAGGUUUCUGGAAACCCUAGGGUUUCCUGAUUCAGUUUAGGCAUUGGGCCUUCCUGGGCCUUGCUGAUUUGGGUCUAGUUUGGGUAUUUGGGCUAAAGGGUUUUAGGUGUAAUGAGGUUCAAAUGUUGGUUACCGGUGUGAUUUGUAAAUGGGCCAUAAGUAGUGCUUCAAUUGGGCUAUGUAAAUAGGCUAGCAAUUUGGGUUUUGUAAAUGGACUGUAAAAGAACUUUUAUUAUUUUUUGGUUUUUUAUUUUAUU